rnacentral:rRNA from 1 species
UACAGAGGUCUCGAGCGUUGUUCGGAUUCAUUGGGCGUAAAGGGUGCGUAGGCGGCGGGGCAAGUCAGGUGUGAAAUCCCGGAGCUCAACUCUGGAACUGCACUUGAUACUGCCUUGCUAGAGUACUGGAGAGGAGACUGGAAUUUACGGUGUAGCAGUGAAAUGCGUAGAUAUCGUAAGGAAGGCCAGUGGCGAAGGCGAGUCUCUGGACAGUUACUGACGCUGAGGCACGAAGGCCAGGAGAGCAAACGGG